GCCAAGGCUUUUCUGUCAGGGAGAGAUUCCUCAAGCAGGAGGAAAAGGAAACAAGUCGUGUACACCAUAUAAAUGAGACAAUGGGGGUUAAGUGACUUGCCCAGGAUCACACAGCCAUUCUUCUUUCCAUGCAGAGUACUUUCCCCCAUCUCUUCCUGUCAAGAUUGCCAUUUCUCAAGACCCAGAUCCAAUGCCUCCUUCUCCAGAUGGCCUUCCCUGAUUCUCCUCCCAGACCCUCAAAGUUGGACAUGAUCUCCCUCCUCUGAACUCCUUGUAGCACAUGGUUUGCAUUAUGGUAACAGAAGGGCAGUGUGGCAUAGUAGAUAGUCACCCCUGAGCCAGGAAGACUUACAUCAAGCUCUACUUCUGACACACAUUAAUUGUAUCACUCUGGAUAAGUCACUUGAUCUGUCAGUGCUGUAGGUAACCCUCUAAGACUAUAAAUUACAAAGAUGGUGAUAGAAGGUGUUUCCCUGGGAAUUCCCUAUAACAGUGAAAUCACAGGCCCAGUCCCUAUUCAUCACUCUUAUGAUGUCAAUAAUAUUUUAUCAUGUAUUGUUAAGAUUUGUGUACAUGUCAUAUCUCAGUUCUCAGUUCAAAAUUAAAUAAAUAUUUGUCAAGCGUCUAUUGGA